CCUCAGUAACGGCGAGUGAAGCGGUAACAGCUCAAAUUUGAAAUCUGGGUCUUUCGGGCUCCGAGUUGUAAUUUGUAGAAGAUGCUUCGGGCGUGGCUCCGGUCUAAGUUCCUUGGAACAGGACGUCAUAGAGGGUGAGAAUCCCGUAUGUGACUGGGUGCUUUCGCUCAUGUGAAGCUCUUUCGACGAGUCGAGUUGUUUGGGAAUGCAGCUCUAAAUGGGUGGUAUAUUUCAUCUAAAGCUAAAUAUUGGCCAGAGACCGAUAGCGCACAAGUAGAGUGAUCGAAAGAUGAAAAGCACUUUGGAAAGAGAGUUAAAUAGUACGUGAAAUUGUUGAAAGGGAAGCGCUUGCAAUCAGACUUGCCCGCCGUCGAUCAUCUAGGGUUCUCCCUCGUGCACUCGGCGGUGGUCAGGCCAGCAUCGGUUUCGAGGGUGGGAUAAAGGCCUUGGGAAUGUAGCUCCUUUCGGGGAGUGUUAUAGCCCUCGGUGCAAUGCCGCCUCCCGGGACUGAGGACCGCGCUUCGGCUAGGAUGCUGGCGUAAUGGUUGUAAGCGACCCGUCUUGAAACACGGACCAAGGAGUCUAACAUUUGUGCGAGUAUUUGGGUGUUAAACCCAUAUGCGGAAUGAAAGUGAACGGAGGUAGGAACCCUUAAGGGUGCACUAUCGACCGAUCCUGAUGUCUUCGGAUGGAUUUGAGUAAGAGCAUAACUGUUGGGACCCGAAAGAUGGUGAACUAUGCGUGAAUAGGGUGAAGCCAGAGGAAACUCUGGUGGAGGCUCGCAGCGGUUCUGACGUGCAAAUCGAUCGUCAAA
rnacentral:rRNA from 1 species